UUAAAGUUUAAGGUUUAAAGCUUUGUUUAAAACACAGAAAGCUGCACCCGUGUCCCUGCAUGAUGAGACGCUUCCUGCUGCUCCUCUGAUGUCAUCGCYGCUGUCCCACUGAGGGAUUGUUGUACCCUCCCCGUGUCAUGUUCCUCCUCUCCCUCUCCACACCUCCCCUUCCUCGCGUUUGACUCCUCGCAGUGACAGUUUGAGCUGCCAGUCGCCGUCAGCCUGAAGGCUCUCAGCAGGACAUUCUGUUCUUUUUUUUUUUUUCCUUUUUGUCCACAGAAGUGCUGAUGAAAGGA